rnacentral:SRP_RNA from 1 species
UUGCGCUAAGCGGGGAGCUAGCGGUGUCCUGUACCCGAAAUCCGCUCAAUGCGGGGCCGAAUUCCCUUUUGAGGGCCCUAACUUCCGUCUUCCAUGAGCCGUCCUCGGUCGUGCACCACGCAACAGGCUGUUACGAACUCCGUCAGGUCCGGGAGGAAGCAGCGGUAAGUAAUCUAGUCUGUGUCGUGGGCUGGCUACGGCCGAACCAUAACGGUUUGAGGUGUGUCGGACAGGGUUCGAUGAGGGGUGCGCAA